GUGCUCCCUUUGGCAACACAUACACUAAAAUUGGAAUAAUAACAGAGAAGAUUAGCAUGGCCUCUGUGCAAGGAUGAUAUGCAGAUUCCUGAAGUGUGCCAUAAAAAA